CAGGGCUUACGCGUCAUUACCGUGCAGUCGGACGGCAGCACGGGCUUCGGCCUGGUGGCGAGUGGCAAACGGGUGAGUAAUACAUCGGAACGUGCCCUGUAGUGGGGGAUAACUAGUCGAAAGAUUAGCUAAUACCGCAUACGACCUGAGGGUGAAAGCGGGGGACCGCAAGGCCUCGCGCUAUAGGAGCGGCCGAUGUCUGAUUAGCUAGUUGGUGGGGUAAGAGCCUACCAAGGCGACGAUCAGUAGCUGGUCUGAGAGGACGAUCAGCCACACUGGGACUGAGACACGGCCCAUACUCCUACGGGAGGCAGCAGUGGGGAAUUUUGGACAAUGGGGGCAACCCUGAUCCAGCAAUGCCGCGCGUGUGAAGAACGCCUUCUGUUUCUACUUAC
rnacentral:rRNA from 1 species